rnacentral:pre_miRNA from 1 species
UUAAGUCAAAUUUGUAUGGAGUUGGAACGUUUGCUUAUGUUUGCCGCUAGGGGCACUGUUCCAGCUGCAAACUGUUUUCAGGUA